UGAAAUGCACUAUAUUAAGG
rnacentral:misc_RNA from 1 species